CUUAAAUUAGAGGGACAAAGGUUUAAAAAUAAUAUCAGGAAGUAUUACUUUACUGAGAGGGUAGUGGAUGCAUGGAAUAGCCUUCCAGCUGAAGUGGUAGAGGUUAACACAGUAAAGGAGUUUAAGCAUGCGUGGGAUAGGCAUAAGGCUAUCCUAACUAUAAGAUAAGGCUAGGGACUAAUGAAAGUAUUUAGAAAAUUGGGCAGACUAGAUGGGCCGAAUGGUUCUUAUCUGCCGUCACAUUCUAUGUUUCUAUCAACAUAUAUCCUAUGGUCUAAAAUUAUGCAGUGCUAUUUUUAAAUAACUUCAAAUAAUGGUACAGUUGAAAUUAUGAUUGCUCCACUUUUAGACCUCCAUCUAAGUAUUGCUCUUUAUAAAUAACCUUGCAGUCAUCAAUAUUUUAAAUCCCAGACAUAGGUACAUUUGAAUGACUUUUCAUGUUUAUAUUUUGAAAGAUUACACAGAAGAACCAUAAUCACUACAGUCUGCUUUAGUCUACCUUGUCCACCAGCCCCAUAAUGUGCAUACAGUCUUCUCCUUUAGGAGAACGUGGUUAGUUCUAUUGAGCUAAGUGGGGCUACGCUCACUGGCCCAGAGCUGAGUGCAGUCCUGUAUAGGCUGUGUUUAGCUGUAGACAGGUUUUUCCUUAUUCCUGUACAUCAAGCAAGCCAAACUUGUGUCCCAAAAUGAAUAUAUUGCGGCCUGCCUGCCCUGGGGCCACUUUGUACUGAGGCUGCGACCAGCCGUAAGCACGGAAAGAUAUUUCCUGAUUGUUUCUGGUCUUCACUCCCAUGGCCGCAAGAGAGUAGAGUGGCUGUCUGUCUGCAGAGCAGGCCAGCCACUCCCAUUUCCUCCUGCUCGCAGUGCUAACUGAGCAUCUGGUCUGCUUGAGCAGAGCUGGAGCUGGAGGACUGAUGGCUCUCUUAAGGUAUUUGAUGAGGAGCUUGGGGGACCUUUCUAUGUAGUGUGUUAAAUUGGGGAAGGAGUGGGCAGUGUAUUCAUUUU